UGAUCCUGGCUCAGAUUGAACGCUGGCGGCAGGCCUAACACAUGCAAGUCGAACGGUAACAGGAAGCAGCUUGCUGCUUCGCUGACGAGUGGCGGACGGGUGAGUAAUGUCUGGGAAGCUGCCUGAUGGAGGGGGAUAACUACUGGAAACGGUAGCUAAUACCGCAUAAUGUCGCAAGACCAAAGAGGGGGACCUUCGGGCCUCUUGCCAUCGGAUGUGCCCAGAUGGGAUUAGCUUGUUGGUGGGGUAACGGCUCACCAAGGCGACGAUCCCUAGCUGGUCUGAGAGGAUGACCAGCCACACUGGAACUGAGACACGGUCCAGACUCCUACGGGAGGCAGCAGUGGGGAAUAUUGCACAAUGGGCGCAAGCCUGAUGCAGCCAUGCCGCGUGUAUGAAGAAGGCCUUCGGGUUGUAAAGUACUUUCAGCGGGGAGGAAGGGAGUAAAGUUAAUACCUUUGCUCAUUGACGUUACCCGCAGAAGAAGCACCGGCUAACUCCGUGCCAGCAGCCGCGGUAAUACGGAGGGUGCAAGCGUUAAUCGGAAUUACUGGGCGUAAAGCGCACGCAGGCGGUUUGUUAAGUCAGAUGUGAAAUCCCCGGGCUCAACCUGGGAACUGCAUCUGAUACUGGCAAGCUUGAGUCUCGUAGAGGGGGGUAGAAUUCCAGGUGUAGCGGUGAAAUGCGUAGAGAUCUGGAGGAAUACCGGUGGCGAAGGCGGCCCCCUGGACGAAGACUGACGCUCAGGUGCGAAAGCGUGGGGAGCAAACAGGAUUAGAUA
rnacentral:rRNA from 1 species